rnacentral:rRNA from 1 species
AGAGUUUGAUUAUGGCUCAGGAUGAACGCUGGCGGCGUGCUUAACACAUGCAAGUCGAACGCUGAAGCUCCCAGCUUGCUGGGGUGGAUGAGUGGCGAACGGGUGAGUAUCACGUGAGUAACCUGCCCUUGACUCUGGGAUAAGCCCGGGAAACCGGGUCUAAUACUGGAUAGGACUGGCCAUCGCAUGGUGGUUGGUUGAAAGCUUUUGCGGUUUUUGGAUGGACUCGCGGCCUAUCAGCUUGUUGGUGGGGUAAUGGCCUACCAAGGCUUUGACGGGUAGCCGGCCUGAGAGGGUGACCGGCCACACUGGGACUGAGACACGGCCCAUACUCCUACGGGAGGCAGCAGUAGGGAGUUUUCGGCAAUGGGGGAAACCCUGACCGAGCAACGCCGCGUGAACGAAUGAAGGUCUUCGGAUUGUAAAGUUCUGUUGUAGGGGAUGAAUGAUUCGUGAAGGAAAUGUCACGAAUUUGACAGUACUCUACCAGAAAGCCACGGCUAACUACGUGCCAGCCGCCGC